UACGUAGGGUGCAAGCGUUAUCCGGAAUUAUUGGGCGUAAAGAGCUCGUAGGCGGUUUGUCGCGUCUGCUGUGAAAACUGGAGGCUCAACCUCCGGCCUGCAGUGGGUACGGGCAGACUAGAGUGCGGUAGGGGAGAUUGGAAUUCCUGGUGUAGCGGUGGAAUGCGCAGAUAUCAGGAGGAACACCAAUGGCGAAGGCAGCUCUCUGGUACGGUACUGACGCUGAGACGCGAAAGCGUGGGGAGCGAACAGG
rnacentral:rRNA from 1 species